rnacentral:rRNA from 1 species
CACGCUGUAAACGAUGGAUACUAGGUGUAGGAGGUAUCGACCCCUUCUGUGCCGGAGUUAACACAAUAAGUAUCCCACCUGGGGANCGCAACGCGAAGAACCUUACCAAGACUUGACAUCCCUUGAAUUGCAUAGAAAUAUGUAAGUCCUUCGGGACAAGGAGACAGGUGG